rnacentral:misc_RNA from 1 species
AACGCACCUUGCGCUCCCUGGUAUUCCGGGGAGCAUGCCUGUUUGAGUGUCAUGUAUCUCUCAGCCACUCUUGGAUUUUUCCAAGAUGAAGCUGGAUGUGGAGGCUGCUGGCUUUAUUUAAGGCCUGCUCUUCUUAAAUACAUUAGUGUGAAUGUUGCUAAAUGUUCCCCAGUGUAAUAAUCAUUUGCGCUGUUUGGAACUUUGGCUGAAACUAUAUCAUUCAUGCUUACAAAACUGGGUCUUUAACAAGACUACAUUUUGCAUUUGACCUCAAAUCAGGUAGGACUACCCGCUGAACUUAA